UAUGGUCACAUCACGUUGAAACAUGGGUUUCCGUACGAUCACUGAAGUUAAGCAACGCCGAGUCUGAUCAGUACCUAAAUGGGUGACCGGUUGGGAAUGCUGUAU